AACAUUUUUAUAUAUUUUGGAAUUUUAUCUAUGAAAAACACAUCUUAUGAGAGACACACCACAUACUUAUCCAAAAUUUUAAAGUGAUAGAUGUGUGGAUUAUGUUACUUAUAAAUAUUCAAUUCUCAACUUUUCUAAUCAAUAGGGAAUUUUUCCGACUUUAAUUCUCAAAGUUCUUAACUCACAUGUUCUUUGUCUCAACAAAUAUUAUCUUAGUCAUUAUAUAUUUUUUUCCUUG
rnacentral:lncRNA from 1 species